GGGCCGUUAACUCAGCGGGAGAGUGCUACCUUCACACGGUAGAAGUCACAGGUUCAAAUCCUGUACGGCCCACCA
rnacentral:tRNA from 1 species